UACGUAGGGUGCAAGCGUUAAUCGGAAUUACUGGGCGUAAAGCGUGCGCAGGCGGUUUGGUAAGACAGAUGUGAAAUCCCCGGGCUCAACCUGGGAAUUGCAUUUGUGACUGCCCGACUAGAGUGUGUCAGGAGGGGGGUAGGAAUUCCACGUGUAGCAGUGAAAUGCGUAGAGAUGUGGAGGAAUACCGAUGGCGAAGGCAGCCCCCUGGGAUAACACUGACGCCUCAUGCACGAAAGCGUGGGGAGCAAACAGG
rnacentral:rRNA from 1 species